CAGUCUGCAGAAACGUAUAAAAUUUAUUGCACAACUUGAACUCAACUGCAGUUUAAAACUGUGCCACCAAAUUUUGUUCAAGACAGUUUAACGCGAUGUAUAACUUUUUCAGUGUCGAUUCCUGCCAUUUCUUCUACAAACUGUCGAAGCUUUAAGCCUCUAUUACAUUCACUUCAAGCCGAAGUAUAUUCAAAAACAUUACGAAAAUGGAAAAAACAUCCACAAAGUGCUUUAUAUUUUGCAGGUUUUUGAUCGCUUAUUAAGGACACUCCCUGUUCGACCAAACAAGUCAUGGCUGAUUUUCCAAAGCCCCACAACAGCGAACGUCUGCAGUAACGGGAAUGAAGACCGAAAAUAAAAAUUUCAUUCGUUUCCUUUCAA